rnacentral:lncRNA from 1 species
CAAAAAAAGGAGAAGGCAUAAUCUAUCACCCCGGAACAAUAAUAAAAUUCAAAUAAUUGAAAUAUAUAGGAAAACAUAAAUUAAACCUCAACUUGUUGGCAUAAUAGCAUUCAUGCUGAUAAGGCGUUGAAUAUCGGAUGAGGAAAUAUAUUAUAUUAUAUUAUUCUGUGUGUCUGUAACAAAAGAGAGAAAGAGAAAGUAGAAGAUAGGGCAUAAUAUGAGAGUGAAAGAUUCAAUUAAUUUUAUUCACUUGUGCUCACAUAUAUUUAUACUACAAACCUAAGACAUAUAUAUUUCCCUUUUAAAGCACAUAUCGACAAGUAUGAGAUGACAAGGAUGAUAUA